rnacentral:rRNA from 1 species
GACGAACGCUGGCGGCGUGCUUAACACAUGCAAGUCGAACGAAGUGGCGAACGGGUGAGUAACGCGUAAUCAACCUGCCCUUCAGAGGGGGACAACAGUUGGAAACGACUGCUAAUACCGCAUACUGAAGGAGGGGAUUGCGUGUGAUUAGCUAGUUGGAGGGGUAACGGCCCACCAAGGCGAUGAUCAGUAGCCGGUUUGGGAGGAUGAACGGCCACAUUGGGACUGAGGCAACGCCCCGGAUCCUAAGGGAGGCAACAGUGGGGAAACUUCCGCAAUGGACGGAAGUCUGACGGAGCAAAGCCGGGUGAGUGGUGACGGCCUUCGGGUUGUAAAGCUCUGUUAAUCGGGACGCGGUACCGGAAUAGAAAGCCACGGCUAACUACGUGCCAGCAGCCGCGGUAAUAC